GCUGUUCCCCUGGGACAACCCACAGGCUUCUCAUCCCUCAGGGCCUUGCCCCAGGAAGCCAGGGGGGUAAACACACAGCUAAUUCCCCCAAGUCCUCCAAAUCUGGGGGUGGGGGGGGGAUGCGGUGUCCUGGGGACCCCUUCUGCUUGAACUGCAGCCGCUCUUGGAUCCCCGAUCACAAAAGAUGUUGGGCUCUUGGGCGCAGUUAUUUCUGGCCCCUGGCCUGUCUGCGAGCUUACGGUGUCUCUACAUUUGCCCAGCGCUAUUUAUCUAGCACUUUCUGGGGUAGCCCCUGAUAGGUGCCUGGAGUUCAGAAAUAAGGAGACACAGUCCCUGCCCUUCAGGGAGCUCAGACUCCAAUGACCGGAAAGAACAAGAUACAUGCUGCUCCCGCCCCACAACGAUCCAGGACUAUCCUGGAAGGUUUUGCUCCCUUCCUCUUCCAAAUUCAGAACAUCUUUAGAUACAACAGCUUUCUGAGUUGCUCAGCAAAACAUACAAGACAGCUUCUGGCCUUUGGUUUCACCCUGACGGGCACAAAGUCAGCACUUCCCAAAAUUGACAGCAGUUAUUUCACUAGAAGACACGAGAUGCGCAGGACCCCUCGAGAGGAGACAAAGUGCCCUCCUCUCUCCAGCUGCGUGGGUCAUUUUCUCUUGCUGGCUUAAUAGACCUGUCCAUAGUCAUCCGGGUUUGUGGUGACAUUUCUCUGCCUUCCUAUAGCCAACGGAGUGGGAAGAAGGAUGUGCGCAACAUUUGGGACAAGAUCCCUUAAAGAAAGGGUCAUGCCCCUCCUUCCAGUGUCCUCCAUCCUGCUCUGGGGACAUUGACUGACCUUGGACCUGGAGGUGCAGGACUGUACCCCCAGAUGGCUGAGCAGGCCCUCAAGUGCCAUCAUCUAUACUUUUACAGCAAAGGGAAAGAACCCUGAUCUUGUUUCAGCAACUAUUAUUUGGGAUCUCUUUCACAGGCAGCCAAAUAAAUCCCCCCGAGUAUAGGAAGUGAAAAAACUAGACUCCUAUCCUUAUCAUCAGAGAUCCUGCCAUGACGUCACACUGCCAUGAUGGGGACGAAUCCAGGAUCUUGACAUGCUAGUGGGGAACAGAGAGAAGCUUGCAAACCUGAGCUGCCCACAGAUCCACUACAGGGGCACACGGCUGGCACGGGGACGCGGGAUACAGGAUUCUCUCGGCUGGAAUGGUACCCGGUACCUGGCCCUAAGCUGCACUGCCUUCACUUCCCACUGGGACCUCCUUGGAACAGAGGUAUGGUGACCACAGGAAUGCCGGGGGCCAAGAACAGGUGCUGGAAAAGUCCUGGGCAGGAAUGGGCAGCUCUGUCCUCCCAAGUCUAGAUGAGGCAGCAACUCCCUUCCCUUACUUCUCAGAGUGCAGCAUUUUACCACAACUUCACUGCCUGAGUCUUGGAGGUUAGACCUUAGGAGAAAGGAAAGGCAGUCCUGCUGUGAGUUUUGGCAAAAACUGAGCUUUCGCUCCUCUCUCGGUUGUUCCUCACCCCUGCCGUGGGGAAGACAUGGACUCUUUUCCAAGGAAAGGUGCUGACUUGAUGCUGCUGGGAAAAGUUUUGCUCCCUGCUCUAGAGCGAGAGCUCUUGGGGCACUCUGUCUUGUCUUUGUGGUGUGACUGGAGUGACCGUGGAAGAAGGGAGCCCUUCAGACAAACCAAGACCCAGACUCCAGCCUCUCACUCCUCACCUGUCUUAGUCAAGGAAUGUGACCUCGUAACUCCAAUUGCCAACAUUUUCUGACUGACUUGGGUUUUGUGUCAAACUUCAAGGCUCUCUCGUAAGGAUCUGAUUAACUUAAGGCCAUUUGGUACCCCCGAGUCCUACUUCUGCCCCACGCGGACUGUGGGGCUGCUCAUUGAAGGCUUUCCAAGGGAAUAAAGAGAAAAUGCUAGAUCCUAUCAAGGCAGGCAGCCCAAGUUUGGCAGUGCUCCCUCGUGGCUCCAGACAGAGAGAGAACACACUCAUGCCUUUCCCUCUUCUAUGACCUCUGGCAGCCUUGCGGAGGGCUGCCACGAGGCACGGUGGGGUUCCUGUCUGUCCUUGCAGCACAGACUCUAAGUUUGAUCAUUUGUAUCCAACUUCUUUGACGUUUAUGACUAAUUAGAGAGGGUCCACCAUUGGGCCACAUCUGUCUCUUGAAACACUAAUAAUUUAAAGAAGACUGUGAUGAUGUGUAGACUAUCUUAAAAAAAAAAAAAAAUCUCCAGGCUCCCAUUUGAAUAUCAGCAAGUACUGUGCUAAUAGCAAGGUGUGCUUAUCUAAUCAUAAGAGCAAGUCUAACAAGAAUUCAUUAAAUACUGCAUCUUCUUCUAAUUGCUUAAAAGUAUUAAGACAACUUAUUUUGAAUUUUUUAAUUUGCUUUUAUCACUGAUUUGAGACCGAAAUUAAGCCUGUUCCUCAAUAACACCACCCCCGGAGACUCCAUUGGAAACCUGGUGCCUGAGCCUGUCUGUGGGUGCGAAGGGAGGACCGAAUCUGGAUGUUCAUCGUCCCAUUCUGUAGGAGCUGCCAUGCUGGGCUGUGCCCACCAGCACAGCCUGUCUUUCUAUGUGUUCACAUACUUGAAUUUUAGAUAGAUCAGUUCACGAUUAGGAAGCAAACACCAUGCCCAUUGCAACCCACCUGCUCAGGGUUCUUGGGUUCCAGGGUAAAGUUGGAAAGUCCAGUCAGAUUUCUUUAAGGACAUUCCAUCUCUCAGCUACUGUGUAUUAGCCAAGCCCAGUCUGUGUUGGUUUACAAGUUCCAUGGCUUAAAACAACACACAUUUAUUAUGUCGGUUUCUGUUGGUGCUGAGUCUGGAUUGAGUCCUUUGUUUCACAAGGCUACAGUCAAGGUGAUGGCUGAGGCACAUUCUUAUCAGAAGGCUCGAGUGGGGCGGACUCUGCUUGCAGGCUCAUUCAGGUUGUUGGCAGAAGGCAUUUCCUAUGACUGGAUAGCCAACUGCUCUGAGCUGGCUGUUGGCUAGAAGCCAUUCUUAGGUCCUAGAGGCUGCCCACAGUUCCCCAUGUGAGCCUAUCCAACAUGGCUGCAUCAUUCCUUAAGCUCAUAAAGAGAGUCUAGCCCCAGUUUGCUGAGUCUUAUGAAAUGUAACCUAAUCAUGGGAGUGGCAGUCCAUUGCCUUUGUCAUAUUCUAUCAGAAGCACCAAUACCACUUGCACUUAUGGGGAGAUUAUGCAAGGUCAAGGACACCAGGUGUUGUACAAGUUCUUUCUGAAUUUUGUAUGUAAAUUCCUAAUCAAUUACAGAAACUGGAAGCAUUUUCUCCCAUUCUGUGGGUUGUCUUUUCACUCUAUUGAUUAUUUUCUUUAACAAGGAGAAGUUUGUAAGUUUAAUGUAGUUCCACUUUUCGACUUUGUUUUUGUGACAGGUGCUUUUGCUGUCAUACCCAGGAAAUCACUGUCAAAAACAAUGUUGUGAAGACUUUGUUCUAUGUUUUCUUCUAAGAGUUUUAUUGUUUUAGAUCUUACAUUUAGGUCCUUGAUCCAUUCAGAAUUAAGUUUUGUGUAUGGUGUAAGGUAAGGGUCCAGCUUACUUUCACAUGUGGAUAUCCAGUUUUCCCAGCCAUGUAUGUUGAAAGAUUGUCCCUUCCCCAGUGAAUGGUCUCAGCACUCUUGUUGAAAAUCAACUGACCAUACAUGCAAGGAUUUAUUUCCAGCUUCCCUAUUCUAUACCCUUGCUCUCUAUAUCUGGCCAUAUGUUGAUGCUCCACUGUGGUGAUUUCAGUAGCUUUAUAGAAAGUUUUGAAAUCAGGAAGUGUGAGUCAUCCAGCUUUGAUCUUUUUCAGGCUGUUUUGACAUUUGGGGAACCCUGAGAUUCUGUAUGAAUUUUAGGAUAGGUUUUUCUAUUUUUGUAAAGAAAACUGUUGAAAUCUUGAUAACAAUUUCAUUGAAUCUGUAGUUUCCUUUGGGUAGCAUUUUCAUCUUGUCAAUAUUAUCUUCCAACCGAUAAACAUGGGAUAUCUUUGCAUUUACUUAUCUUUGCUUAUUUCUUGUAGCAAUGUUUUCUAAUUUUCAAUGCAAAGGUUUUUUUGCCUCCUGGGUUUAAUGUAUUUCUAUGUAUUUUAUUAUUUUUUGUAUUUUUAUAAACACAACCAUUUUUCUAAUAUUCUUUUUGGAUUGCUCAUUGUUGGUGAAUGGAAAUCCAACUGGUUUUUUAAGUGGUAAUUUCAUAUCGUGUAAUUUUGCUGAAUUUAUUUAUUAGCUCUGUUAUGUGUAUGUGUGUGUGUGUGUGUGUAGCCUUUAGACUUUUCUACAUGUAAAGUCAAGUCAUCUGAAAUAGAGAUAAUUGUACUUUUUACUUUCCAGUUUAAAUGCCCUUUUUCUUCUUGGCUCAUUGCUCUCUCUCUGGAACUUCCAAUAAGGUGUUGAAUAGAGGUGGUGAGAGUAGACAUUCUUGCUUUGUUCCUAAUCUUAAAGGAAUGCUUUCAGCUUCUCACCAUAAUGUUAGCUGAUGCUUUUUCAUAUAUGGCCUUUGUCAUGUUGAAGAAGCUUCUUUCUAGUCACACUUACUAUUUUUAUCAUGAAAGGAUUUUGCAUUUUGUCACCUUUUCUGCCUCAGUUGAUUGAAAUGACUGUGUUUUCCCCUCUUUAUUGUACAUCAGUCAUGCAUUAAACUGAUUUUCAGAUUGUACUUUCCUUGUAAUCUGGGAAUAAAUCUUACUUGGUC
rnacentral:lncRNA from 1 species